rnacentral:rRNA from 1 species
UGGGGAAUUUUGCACAAUGGGGGAAACCCUGAUGCAGCGACGCCGCGUGAUUUAGAAGGCCUUCGGGUUGUAAAAAUCUUUUUUACGGGAUGAAAAUGACAGUACCGUAAGAAUAAGGUCCGGCUAAAUACGUGCCAGCAGCCGCGGUAAUACGUAUGGACCGAGCGUUGUCCGGAAUCAUUGGGCGUAAAGGGUACGUAGGCGGCCUAAUAAGUUAGAAGUGAAAGAAUAUAGCUCAACUAUAUAAAGCUUUUAAAACUGUUAGGCUUAAGAGAUGAAAGGGAAAGUGGAAUUCCUAGUGUAGCGGUGAAAUGCGCAGAUAUUAGGAAGAAUACCGGUGGCGAAGGCGACUUUCUGGUCAUCAUCUGACGCUGAGGUACGAAAGCGUGGGUAGCAAACAGG